rnacentral:lncRNA from 1 species
GCUCUUCUAUUAAUAUAUGCAAAGCAAACCAUUGAUAAAAUUGCUUGCUAUGAUUGUUUGGAUGUUUGUAAACGACAGGUAAGUAGUCUGUUUACUAUAUACUAGAAUUUGUUUGGACAAUAAACAUUAACUUCAAUUCCUGUCAGUUUGUAUUUGUCCAAUCAAAUCCAGUAUGUAUUGAAACUCCGCCUACCUAUUGUUUGAAAACAUCCAAGCAAACAUAGCAAGCAAGUCAAUCAAAGUUUUUUUUUUUUUUUUGCAUGCUUUUAUAGAAGAGCUGUACUAUAUAAUGCAAAGAAGCGUUUAAGUCUUUCGCCAAAAAAUACUAUCAAUUUCUUUUUGUCCUAUGUAAACU